rnacentral:rRNA from 1 species
AUGCAAGUCGAGGGGUAACAGGGAGCUUGCUCCGCUGACGACCGGCGCACGGGUGCGGAACACGUAAGAAUCUGCCCCUCGGUCGGGGACAACUCUUGGAAACGAGAGCUAAUACCCGAUACGCUGUGGAGUGAAAGAAUUUCGCCGAGGGAUGAUCUUGCGUCUGAUUAGCUAGUUGGUGUGGUAACUGCACACCAAGGCGACGAUCAGUAGCUGGUCUGAGAGGAUGGACAGCCACAUUGGAACUGAGACACGGUCCAAACUCC